GGCGAAAACGGGUAUCCGACCUGAGAGGGUGACCGGCCACACUUGGGACUGAGACACGGCCCACACUCCUACGGGAGGCAGCAGUGGGGAAUAUUGCACAAUGGGCGAAAGCCUGAUGCAGCGACGCCGCGUGAGGGAUGACGGCCUUCGGGUUGUAAACCUCUUUCAGCAGGGACGAAGCGCAAGUGACGGUACCUGCAGAAGAAGCACCGGCUAACUACGUGCCAGCAGCCGCGGUAAUACGUAGGGUGCAAGCGUUGUCCGGAAUUACUGGGCGUAAAGAGUUCGUAGGCGGUUUGUCGCGUCGUUUGUGAAAACCAGCAGCUCAACUGCUGGCUUGCAGGCGAUACGGGCAGACUUGAGUACUGCAGGGGAGACUGGAAUUCCUGGUGUAGCGGUGAAAUGCGCAGAUAUCAGGAGGAACACCGGUGGCGAAGGCGGGUCUCUGGGCAGUAACUGACGCUGAGGAACGAAAGCGUGGGUAGCGAACAGGAUUAGAUACCCUGGUAGUCCACGCCGUAAACGGUGGGCGCUAGGUGUGGGUUCCUUCCACGGAAUCCGUGCCGUAGCUAACGCAUUAAGCGCCCCGCCUGGGGAGUACGGA
rnacentral:rRNA from 1 species